rnacentral:rRNA from 1 species
UACGAAGGGGGCUAGCGUUGCUCGGAAUCCACGUGGCGUAAAGCGCACGUAGGCGGACUCUUAAGUCGGUGGUGAAAUCCUGGAGCUCAACUCCAGAACUGCCUUCGAUACUGAGAGUCUUGAGUCCGGGAGAGGUGAGUGGAACUGCGGGUGUAGAGGUGAAAUUCGUAGAUAUUCGCAAGAACACCAGUGGCGAAGGCGGCUCACUGGCCCGGUACUGACGCUGAGGUGCGAAAGCGUGGGGAGCAAACAGG